rnacentral:SRP_RNA from 2 species
UAAGGUCUCUCGCGCGGCGGUACCUCGCCCAACUCCCCCAGGGUCGGAAGGCAGCAAGGGUCAGUGAGCUCUUCCGGGUGCGCGAGAGGCCCCUUUU